GCACCCGUAGCUCAACUGGAUAGAGCAUUUGACUACGAAUCAAAAGGUUAGAGGUUCGAAUCCUCUCGGGUGUACCA
rnacentral:tRNA from 1 species